CCCUUAGAUGUCCUGGGCUGCACGCGCGCUACACUGGAAGUUACGGAUUGAGAUACUACCUUGUCCGAAAUGGUCCGGGUAAUCACCUAAAAGCUUGUCAUAAUUGGAAUGGAUUAUUGUAACUAGUAAUCCUGAACGAGGAAUUCCUAGUAAGUCCAGUCAACAGCUGGUACUGAUUACGUCCCUGCCCUUUGUACACACCGCCCGUCGCUACUACUGAUUGGACGUUUAAGCAAGAUUUUUAAACACUGACAGUGUGUAGUUCACGCUAUACUACAGUGAGAAGAAGAAGAUCGAGCUUACUUGUCUAGAGGAAGUAAAAGUCGUAACA
rnacentral:rRNA from 1 species